rnacentral:rRNA from 1 species
GACGAACGCUGGCGGCGUGCUUAACACAUGCAAGUCGAACGGAAAGGCCCUGCUUUUGUGGGGUGCUCGAGUGGCGAACGGGUGAGUAACACGUGAGUAACCUGCCCUUGACUUUGGGAUAACUUCAGGAAACUGGGGCUAAUACCGGAUAGGAGCUCCUGCUGCAUGGUGGGGGUUGGAAAGUUUCGGCGGUUGGGGAUGGACUCGCGGCUUAUCAGCUUGUUGGUGGGGUAGUGGCUUACCAAGGCUUUGGCGGGUAGCCGGCCUGAGAGGGUGACCGGCCACAUUGGGACUGAGAUACGGCCCAGACUCCUACGGGAGGCAGCAGUGGGGAAUAUUGCACAAUGGGCGGAAGCCUGAUGCAGCAACGCCGCGUGCGGGAUGACGGCCUUCGGGUUGUAAACCGCUUUCGCCUGUGACGAAGCGUGAGUGACGGUAAUGGGUAAAGAAGCGCCGGCUAACUACGUG